rnacentral:rRNA from 1 species
AUACGGAGGGUGCAAGCGUUACUCGGAAUCACUGGGCGUAAAGCGCGCGCAGGCGGCUUGAUAAGUUGGAUGUGAAAGCCUACGGCUCAACCGUAGAACUGCAUCCAAAACUGUCAGGCUAGAGUGUGCGAGAGGAAGAUGGAAUUAGUUGUGUAGGGGUAAAAUCCGUAGAGAUAACUAGGAAUACCAAAAGCGAAGGCAAUCUUCUGGAACACUACUGACGCUGAGGCGCGAAGGCGUGGGGAGCAAACAGAAUUAGAAACCCCAGUAGUCC